UACGUAGGCAGCAAGCGUUGUUCGGAAUUACUGGGCGUAAAGAGUGUAGGCGGUGCUCCAAGUCUGGUGUGAAAUCUCCCGGCUUAACUGGGAGGGUGCAUUAGAAACUGGAAUGCUAGAGGAUGGGAGAGGUAAGCGGAAUUCCUGGUGUAGCGGUGAAAUGCGUAGAUAUCAGGAGGAACACCUGUGGUGUAGACAGCUUACUGGACCAUUUCUGACGCUGAGACACGAAAGCGUGGGUAGCAAACAGG
rnacentral:rRNA from 1 species